rnacentral:rRNA from 1 species
UACGUAGGGUGCGAGCGUUAAUCGGAAUUACUGGGCGUAAAGCGUGCGCAGGCGGUCUGUUAAGACCGAUGUGAAAUCCCCGGGCUUAACCUGGGAACUGCAUUGGUGACUGGCAGGCUUUGAGUGUGGCAGAGGGAGGUAGAAUUCCACGUGUAGCAGUGAAAUGCGUAGAGAUGUGGAGGAAUACCGAUGGCGAAGGCAGCCUCCUGGGCCAACACUGACGCUCAUGCACGAAGCGUGGGGAGCAAACAGG